UACGUAGGGUCCAAGCGUUAUCCGGAAUCACUGGGCGUAAAGCGUGCGUAGGCGGAUGUUUAAGUGCAAUGCGAAAUCCUGUGGCUCAACCAUAUGGACUGUAUUGCAUACUGGAUAUCUGGAGGAAUGCAGAGGCAAGUGGAAUUACCGGUGUAGCAGUGAAAUGCGUAGAGAUCGGUAGGAACACCAAUGGCGAAGGCAGCUUGCUGGGCAUUUUCUGACGCUAAGGCACGAAAGCGUGGGGAGCGAACCGG
rnacentral:rRNA from 1 species